rnacentral:rRNA from 1 species
GGACCUCUAAUCGGAAAAG